rnacentral:rRNA from 1 species
AACGAACGCUGGCGGCAGGCCUAACACAUGCAAGUCGAGCGCGCCCUUCGGGGUGAGCGGCGGACGGGUGAGUAACGCGUGGGAACGUGCCCUUUUCUACGGAAUAGCCUCGGGAAACUGAGAGUAAUACCGUAUACGCCCUUUGGGGGAAAGAUUUAUCGGAAAAGGAUCGGCCCGCGUUGGAUUAGGUAGUUGGUGGGGUAAUGGCCUACCAAGCCGACGAUCCAUAGCUGGUUUGAGAGGAUGAUCAGCCACACUGGGACUGGGACACGGCCCAGACUCCUACGGGAGGCAGCAGUGGGGAAUCUUAGACAAUGGGGCAACCCUGAUCUAGCCAUGCCGCGUGAGUGAUGAAGGCCUUAGGGUUGUAAAGCUCUUUCAGCUGGGAAGAUAAUGACGGUACCAGCAGAAGAAGCCCCGGCUAACUCCGUG